rnacentral:rRNA from 1 species
AUUCCAGCUCCAAUAGCAUAUAUUAAAGUUGUUGCAGUUAAAAAGCUCGUAGUUGGAUUUCUGGCAUGAUGCGCCUGGCCCGCCUCGAUUACGAGUGUGUGUGCGAGUGCGCGUCUGCCAUCCAUUUGCAGAACAUGUCUACCCUUCAUUGGGCCAGAUAUGUGAUGUAAAUCUUUUACUUUGAAAAAAUUAGAGUGUUUAAAGCAGGCAUUUGCUAUGAAUACAUUAGCAUGGAAUAAUAAUCUAGGACUUCGGUUCUAUUUUGUUGGUUUCUAGAUCUGGAGUAAUGAUUGAUAGGGAUAGUUGGGGGUGCUAGUAUUAAGGGGCCAGAGGUGAAAUUCUUGGAUUCUCUUAAGACUAACUUAUGCGAAAGCAUUCACCAAGGAUGUCUUCAUCA